rnacentral:rRNA from 1 species
AUUGAACGCUGGCGGCAGGCCUAACACAUGCAAGUCGAACGGUAGCAGAACUAGCUUGCUAGUUGCUGACGAGUGGCGAACGGGUGAGUAACGCGUGGGAAUCUACCUGGUAGUGGGGGAUAACAGUCGGAAACGACUGCUAAUACCGCAUACGUCCUAAGGGAGAAAGCGGGGGAUCUUCGGACCUCGUGCUAUCAGAUGAGCCCGCGUCGGAUUAGCUAGUUGGUGGGGUAAGGGCCUACCAAGGCGACGAUCCGUAGCUGGUCUGAGAGGAUGAUCAGCCACACUGGAACUGAGACACGGUCCAGACUCCUACGGGAGGCAGCAGUGGGGAAUAUUGGACAAUGGGCGCAAGCCUGAUCCAGCCAUGCCGCGUGUGUGAAGAAGGCCCUAGGGUUGUAAAGCACUUUCAGCAGGGAGGAAAGGUUGUACGUUAAUACCGUGCAACUGUGACGUUACCUGCAGAAGAAGCACCGGCUAACUCCGUGCCAGCAGCCGCCGCGG